GAAGAGCUAUUGCCAAUUUCCACCCUCUCUCUGGAAACUGUCAUUAGGGUUAGGGAAACUGUCAUGAGAUCUGCAUAUUUUAGAUAGAGGCUGCUUGCCUUAUUUGGGCACCUAAUGAAAAAGACAUGGAGGCCAGGUGCGGUGGCUCAUGUCUGUAAUCCCAGCACUUUGGGAGGCCAAGGCGAGUGGAUCACCUGAGGUCAGGAGUUCGAGACCAGCCUGACCAACAUGGCAAAACCCCGUCUGUACUAAAAGUGCAAACACAAAGGGAACUGCGUGGCUUGUUUCUACCUGAACAUUGUCAAGUGAUUUCAUCCUUUGAAACACAGUUGUGAAGUGUGUCCAGCAGUCUGAGAACAAGAAGAAGAAGAAAAUCUAAUCCUUCAGGGUGUCUGUGUGCCAGCCCUGCUCUCAGCACUUCCCAUGUGGAACUCCUUUACUUCUCCUAACAACUCCAUGACAUGGGUUAGACUGUGAUUGUUCCCAUAUUGUUGGUAGGGAAACUGAGGCAUGCAGGUGUUACAGAGCUCUCUCAAGUGGCAAGCUUUCUGGGUGGUUACAGAGUGGCAGAGCUGGGGUAUCCCAUGAUGUCACCACACUGCUAUAUGGAAAAGAACAUUAAUCGAGCACCUACGUGCUUGAUUCUCUUAAUUCUGUGACUGAACUCUCAAAACACCCUGGGUUGGUUUCCUUUUUACAACUGCCCAAGUCAUGAGUUCAUAGGGCCUGGAUGGCUGUACCGGAUUGCUCUCCAGCUGGUCUCUCUGCAUCCAGAAAUUUCUACAACCUACUGGGAGCACUGCGUGUUUUGAAAUAUACAAAUAGUGGGAAACGAAAUCUUUGUUCUGGAUGCAGUUAUAAUUUGGAAAGCGAGGAAAUAAAUUAUAACAAGGGGAAAAAACAGACACAGAGGGAUUGAAAUGCAUAACAAUAGAGAUGAAACACGAAGAGUGAUAAAUGAAGAUUGAGUGUGCACACCUUCUGGAGGAGCCCUGAUUGAGUAUUUUAACACAGAAGUGGGUGAGAGCAAAGUUGUGUCAGAGUAAGACAAUGACACCAAGCCAGAUGGUUAUCAAAAUCCACAGGAACAAAUGAAGAGAACCAGAAAUUGCAAAUAAGAAGGACAGAGUACCAGAGAGGAGAGAGAGGUACAGAGAAUUAUGGAGGUGGCUUCCGUUGAGUAUGCAGCUAAGUAAUGAUUAAUGCAUACAUAUAAGAAACUACUGGAUGACAGAGAAAGAACCACAAGCAAUUUAAAGAAUACUACUAAAGUCAUGCCGUGUGACUUCUGAAGCUAGCUCCUAAGAAGUCCUUGCAGCUUCUGCCUGCGACUCUUAGAACACUUGCUUUGAAGGAUGCCAGAUGCUGUCUUAAAAGUCUGAGCACUCUGAAACCAUCAUGCUGUGAGGAAGCCCAAGCUAACCACAUGGGCAAAAAAGAUGCCCUCUGACUGCCACCAUUUGAGACACUCUAAUUAAGAACUGCCUCAUUGAGCCCAUGAGGCCCUGUGAAUGAUAAUAAUAAAUUGUUUUUAACC
rnacentral:lncRNA from 1 species